GGUGUUUAAAGAGCUUGAGACAAAACUGCCGAGCAGAAUAUUCCAGUUUAUCCCGUGGAAUAGGAAGGAAUGGCCCCAGACAUAAUUACAAGAGAAAUUCACAGAGCCCAGUGCAAAGAGUGCAGAACAACCCAGAAGAGCCAGGGGCAAAAUAUGAUGGAGGAUUCCCAAUGCCACUGAGUGCCCAGUCUGCUCCCACCCCUGGACAGAAAUCUUGGCUGCCUCAGGGAUGCAGUUUGCAACCCCUGUGCUCCAACACUUGUAAAUAAAGGCCUUUUUAUCUUUGGGA